CUGCCUGCCUGAAGGGCCCAUACCUUGAUCAGACGUCUUAGAACGACUGCCCUUAGCCAUGUCAUAAAAAGGAGAAAACAUCAUAUUUGACAACCCCAAUUCCUGCAUUAUACAGACAGGAAACUCAGGUGCACUUCACCACACGCUUCUCAGUUGCGUGGAUGCACAUCUCCACUUCUUUGCAGGGAGGACGCACAACAGCAGAAUACCCGUGGCCUGACUUUCUGGAGCAUCAGUAUUACUACAAGAUUUGGAAAAACCAAAGUUAGGUCAUUUCCAAGAGCCUACCCAUAGACAAAGCCAAGAUUUAAUCUGCAAGAGUCUGCCAGGCACUCUGUGGUCCAUGGGAAUCCCUCAAGUUGGCAGCCUGUUCCCUUGUGUCCUGUGCUGGUGUUCAAUCUUCCAUCUCUUCAGGGUACCACUAGACAGAGGCCUAUCAGAUCCUCAAGGGACUUGA